rnacentral:lncRNA from 1 species
GCCCUGUGAACUCAUGAAAGAUAAUCCAGAAAACAAAAUUCCAGUCCAGUUCCACUGAAGAACAUAGAGUUUCAAAUUAACCAAAUAAUAACACUAAUAUUACCCCAAAGUCACAGUAAAAUCCAUCACAGUAUUUUCAGGAAUAAUAUAUGUUAUUUACUUAAGGGAUAAGUUAAUAUUAAGAUGUAAACUGAAAAAUUUUUACAAUUCUUUGCACAUGAUAAUAAUAGGUCAUAUUUGAUGAGCACUUAGUGUGUGUCAAGUGCUAUUGUAGAUGUUACUAAAUUUUCAUAACAUCCUUUCAAGGUACAUUUAAUUGUCCCUAUUUUAUAGAAAACUAAGACAUAGAAAGGCGAAAAAAUAUGUCUAGAGUCAAACACAGGAGAGUUGAAGGCAGAAUUUGAAUGGAGGCAGCACAGCCCUAAACUCUAAGUACUUUCUGUAUGUCUGUGUGUGCGUUUUUGUUUUUGUUUUUGUUUUCUUUUUAGGGCUGCACCCAUGACAUAUGGAAGUUCCCAGACUAGGGGGGUCAAAUUGGAGCUACAGCUGCCAGCCUACACCACAGCCAACAGCAACACAGGAUCCAAGCCCCAUCUGUAACCUACACCACAGCUCAUGGCAAUGCCAGAUCCUUAACCCACUGAGCGAGGCAAGGAAUAGAACCCACAGCCUCAUGGAUCCUAGACGGGUUUGUUACUGCUGAGCCAUCAUGGGAACUCCACAUGGUUCAAUUUUUGUGCUAUCUGUAUUUUUUGCUGGGGUUUGCUUAUUUCUGAGAAAUUGACCCUGUCCAUGGUACAGAUGAAAAAAGACCUGAGAACGUUCCUAUGAGAACUUCCCAAACAACUGUAUCCACUUAGACAAGUAUUUCAGGCCAAUUUCCUUUCCUUAUUUUUCCCUUUGUACUUAAUACCCUUGGUCAAGCUGCUCUUGUGCUACUUGACCUACUGAAUCCAUGACCUAAUAGUUCAUAAGAUGUCACCAUAUUAUUAUGAAGAUAAUCACUGAGCUGUGUAUCUACCAGGUGUGAGGCAAGGCACUGUGCUCUAUGUUGGGGUAUGGAAGAUUCACAGAUGAUGAAGGACACACAUAUCUAUCUGGGUUAUAAUUUGAAAAGUGCCAUCUUAGCAGCCUGAAGAGCUGGUUUAGCUGCACAAAAGACCUAUCAGUUUCACCUGUAGCAAUUUAGAGCACAGUUGGCAUAGUGGGUGCUAUUUGAACUCAAUCAUAAAAUGAUCCAUUUUUGAGAAAGGAAGGAUUGGGCAGGUUGGAAAGGAGAUGUGAAGAUUGCUGGGGAGCCUGGAGAAGCAGUUGUGUGGAUGAAGUGGUGGCAAGAGAUGCUGGAAAUACAGACAAGGAUCCAAGGACAGAAAGACUGGCACCCAAACGAGGAGUUAGAAGUUUUCCAGGGAGCACAGAGUGGCUGCCAAGGGGAGCAUGACUGCGUGCCAGGAGCCAGAUCCAUCGCUUCCCUAUUAUAAGUGACUUUUAUGCAGUAUGCAGUAUAUUCAUACCUGUCCUUGUAAUGGGUCCUUUCUGAGCUCAAGAUAAUAACUCUUUAUUGAAAAGGUUUUCAUUUAAUUUGCAUUCUCAUAGAACCCAAAAGAAGAUGUGUUCCCUGUGGUUUAAAUGGAGAUGAAAACACAGGGGUUAAGUCUGGGUUUGGACCACUUAGUAUCUAGGCAGGAGAGGGUGAUCAAACACUUGAGACUCCCCUAGGGACCACUGAUGGAUGUAAUACACCUCUCCCCGCUGAAAAAAAUUAAAAAAAAA